UACGUAUGGUGCAAGCGUUAUCCGGAUUUACUGGGCGUAAAGGGAGCGCAGGCGGUGCGCCAAGUCUGAUGUGAAACCCCGGGGCUCAACCCCGGGCAUGCAUUGGAAACUGGCGGGCUGGAGUGCCGGAGAGGUAAGCGGAAUUCCUAGUGUAGCGGUGAAAUGCGUAGAUAUUCGGAGGAACACCGGUGGCGAAGGCGGCCAACUGGGCUUUAACUGACGCUGAGGCUCGAAAGUGUGGGGAGCAAACAGG
rnacentral:rRNA from 1 species